UACGAGAGGCCCAAACGUUAUUCGGAAUUACUGGGCUUAAAGAGUUCGUAGGCGGCAUGAAAAGUAGGGUGUGAAAGCCCUCGGCUCAACCGAGGAAUUGCGCUCUAAACUGUCGUGCUAGAGGAAGCUAGAGGUGAGCGGAACUGAUGGUGGAGCGGUGAAAUGCGUUGAUAUCAUCAGGAACACCGGAGGCGAAGGCGGCUCACUGGGGCUUUUCUGACGCUGAGGAACGGAAAGCCAGGGUAGCGAACGGG
rnacentral:rRNA from 1 species